GUUGUCUUCCCACCUCAGACUCCCAAGUAGCUGGGACCACAGGAGGAAAUCUCUUCACUGCUGGCACUGACAAUGGAAGACUGAGGGUGCCCGGGAUCCUUCACCCCCACAUCCAGUGAGUCCACGGAACCCAGGGUAACUGGGAUGGUAUCUGAAAAAAUCCAAAUCUGUUGUUCUCCUUGUCUUGGAGCUGACCCUUUCCAGCAGAUGAUAUCACCUCUAAGGUAACUAAGAACAAUGAUUUCUUAU
rnacentral:lncRNA from 1 species